rnacentral:tRNA from 1 species
GUAAACAUAGUUUAACACAAAACACCGGAUUGUGAGCCCGGCGAUAGAGGUUCAAACCUUCUUAUUUACC